rnacentral:rRNA from 1 species
UAAAACGUAGGUGGCAAGCGUUAUCCGGAUUUACUGGGCGUAAAGCAUGUGCAGACGGGUUGGUAAGUGGUGUAUGAAAGCGUCCGGCUUAACCGGGCAAGCGUAGGCCAGACUGCCAGUCUUGAGAGUGGGAGAGGGAUGUGGAAUUCCGGGUGUAGUGGUGAAAUGCGUAGAGAUCCGGAGGAACCCCAGAGGCGAAGGCGGCGUCCUGGCCCAUUUCUGACGUUCAGACAUGACAGCAUGGGGAGCGAACGGGAUUAGAAACCCCGGUAGUCCAUGCCGUAAACGAUGUCGACUAGGCGCUGGGCGGGUAAUACCGCGCGGUGCCGCAGCUAACGCGAUAAGUCGACCGCCUGGGGACUACGACCGCAAGGUUA